rnacentral:rRNA from 1 species
GACGAACGCUGGCGGCGUGCCUAAUACAUGCAAGUCGAGCGGACGUAAAAAGCUUGCUUUUUAAGUUAUCGGCGGACGGGUGAGUAACACGUGCGCAACCUGCCUGUAAUACUGGGAUAACUUCGGGAAACCGGAGCUAAUACCGGAUAAUCCUUUUCUACUCAUGUAGAAAAGCUGAAAGACGGUUUACGCUGUCACUUACAGAUGGGCCCGCGUCGCAUUAUCUAGUUGGUGAGGUAACGGCUCACCAAGGCGACGAUGCGUAGCCGACCUGAGGGGGUGCUCGGCCACACUGUGACUGUGCCACGGUCCAGACACCUACUGGAUGCCGCUGUUGGGAAUCUUCCGGAUAGGACUAAAGUCUGACGGAGCAACACCGCGUGAGUGAUGAAGGUUUUCGGAUCUUAAAACUCUGUUGUUAGGGAAGAACAAGUCCGAAAGUAACUGCUCGUACCUUGACGGUACCUUACCAGAAAGCCACGGCUAACUACGUG